rnacentral:tmRNA from 1 species
UAACCUCGAGAUUAUAAGGGGUGUGUGGGCUUGAAGUGACGUGUUUCCCAGCAAAGCCUGCACUAUAAAAGGAAGCACUAAGCAUGUAGUCAUUAGUGGGGAGUUUGCUAAGGACGAGAGUUCGAAUCUCUCCACCUCCAUUG